UACAGAGGUGCCAAGCGUUAGGCGGAAUCACUGGGCUUAAAGCGCGCGUAGGCGGAUGUUUAAGUGUCUUGUGAAAUCCCAACGGCUCAACCGUGGAACUGCUGGCAUACUGGACAUCUCGAGGCACUCAGGGGCGAGCGGAACAAGUGGUGGAGCGGAUGAAUGCGUAGAUAUCACUUGGAACGCCAAUGGUGAAGACAG
rnacentral:rRNA from 1 species